CAGAAAGUUCAAUCUACAGCUGGAGUGGGAGACAGAGGGAUCCAGACUGACCAAACCAUCAUCUUCAACACGUGGCUCUGGGGGUUAUCCUGGGAUCCUGGGAGACAACAUCCAGCUGACACUAAAAUUUAGUCAUGAGGCCUUACCUAGAUGCAAGGAAGUUGGGAAUGGACACACAGGCUCCAGGAAGCCGCCACUUCCGAGCCACAGCCAACCCACAAGGAAGAGAAGAUCUCCAGGGCAGCCUGCCAUCUUUACCACAGGGAAUUUGCAGAAACUCUUGCCAGAUGCAAAAAUUAAAG
rnacentral:lncRNA from 10 species